GCUUCAGCCCUCAUCAGUUUGCUGCUGCACUGGCUGGCUUGCUGCGACCUGCAGGCUGCAGCGAGAACAUCGGCCGGGCCGCCGAGAAGGCGACGGCAAUGUCUCAAACUUCAACGCUGCAGCAACGAGCCUAUCUUGCUCGAGGGGAAAUCACCAUCUUUCAAUUAAUCUCUCCGUUCCUUAUUUCAUCUCAAGUUUUUCUUCAUAUUUCCAUCACUUGUUGGGGCGACCUAUAAGGUUGUAUUGUAUGCUUUGUGCCAACAUCUGCUAUUUGCCUUAGAUUCUUGGGUGAAUUUGAGUGAUGUGGUGUUCCCUCAUGUUCUCUGUAACCCCCAUGGCGCCACCGUUUCUGCUCAUCCCUGCUCCCACCCAAGAGUAUGGGCACAUGAUUUGGACAUUGCGGUUUGCAACCAUCUUGAUGUUACUCUGUCUAUCUAUGCCCUUGCAGAGGUUCAAAUCAAACCCUCUCCUAUCAUCUAACGUGCAUUGUCUUCUUACGUUAUUUUCCAAUAUAAAUUAUUGUUGUAUUGAAAACAGAUAAAAUUUGCAGUUCAAAUAUGGUAAUCCUGGUUGAAGAAACGGAGAUUUAUACAUAUUUGGUGUAGCAGUCGUCAUGUUAUUAGUUAACAUGUCAUAUCUUUGUUGUGACCCUGCCCCUUACUUAACUCGUGCCAACAUAACUUUCUGGUAAUGUAAAUAUGGUGUUUUCUAACUGUUUUGAAGAGCUUAGCUCUGCCUGGAAGUUUUAAGAGCUAACCCAAGCAUAACGACUUUCAGUAAUACUGCAUUCCUGCUUGGAGAGUUCAAAAUGAAAUAGCCUACUGGGAUAUUAUCAUAUUAGAUAGUGUUAAUGCUAUCCAGAUCUCAGAUCUUCUAUAAUUGAUCAUGAUUCAACUAAUUAUCCUUUGUAGCAUGUAGGUUGUGGCGGUACAAAGUUUGCAGUGAGUUUCACAGUUCCAUGUGGCAUCAAAAAAUUAUAGUGUCAGAUGUCAGUACUGCAAAGAUUAAUGCCGGGUUGCUAGAUAUACCUUAUCUUAAAUUUCAUGUUUCUUACAAGGUCGCAAUAUAUCUAUUUUAACUUACAUGAAUAGCUCCUAUCACCAUCUAGAGCAUCGACGUUGUUCUUGUUCUCCUGUCACGCAAAAGCCAAAGUAGCCAAAGUAACAGAGAUGUCAGCUAGGAUCAGAUCCUAACUGAUCAAGGCGAAAACAAAAGAGACUUCACCACCUAUCAAACAUUAUUAUUCAGGACUGGCGCUUCCAAUUUUUCCAAUGUUCGGGGUUUGAAUGUUCAGAGAAGUGGUUCAAACAAGUUUAGUUUAGUGUUCUUAAACUAUGCCAGUAGAAGUUAUUUUUUUCCUUAUGCCAAUCAGUUGCAUCUGGAGUCAAAGUAGUUAGUAUUUUAUUUCUUUUGUCAACGACCUUGAAUUGGAAUUUUUAUGUUUUGGGAAGUGUCUUGAAAUAGAACAAUCCAUUUGUUAAGAAAAUA